rnacentral:rRNA from 1 species
GAUGAACGCUAGCGGCAGGCCUAAUACAUGCAAGUCGAACGGUGUCUUCGGACAUAGUGGCGCACGGGUGCGUAACACGUAUGCAACCUACCUUACAUUGGGGGAUAGCCUUUCGAAAGGGAGAUUAAUACCGCAUAAGACAGUAGCUGGGCAUCCAGUAGCUGUUAAAGAUUUAUCGAUGUAAGCUGGGCAUGCGUCCAAUUAGCUAGUUGGUGAGGUAACGGCUCACCAAGGCAAUGAUUGGUAGGGGAACUGAGAGGUCAAUCCCCCACACUGGCACUGAGAUACGGGCCAGACUCCUACGGGAGGCAGCAGUAGGGAAUAUUGGGCAAUGGACGCAAGUCUGACCCAGCCAUGCCGCGUGCAGGAUGAAGGCGUUAUGCGUUGUAAACUGCUUUUAUACAGGAAGAAACGACUCUUGCGAGAGGCAUUGACGGUACUGUAUGAAUAAGCACCGGCUAACUCCGUG